rnacentral:rRNA from 1 species
UACGGAGGGUGCGAGCGUUGUUCGGAAUCACUGGGCGUAAAGCGCGUGUAGGCGGCCUUCUCAGUCUGGUGUGAAAGCCCGGGGCUCACCCCCGGAAGUGCAUUGGAUACUGGAAGGCUGGAGUACCGGAGAGGAGGGUGGAAUUCCUGGUGUAGCGGUGAAAUGCGUAGAUAUCGGGAAGAACACCCGUGGCGAAGGCGGUUCUCUGGGACGGUACUGACGCUGAGACGCGAAAGCGUGGGGAGCGAACAGG